UUGAACCUGUGUCAGCCUGCCUGCCAGCCAGCCUGUGUUUUGGCCUGUUUCUGCCUCUGGUAACAAUUCUGCUGCAGCCCUUUCUACACCCAUUCCUGUGCAGAGUUUACUUACCUGUCUGGCUUCAUCGCCUAUCUACCUGGGUCCUGUGAAAAAAGAAAGAGUUUCUACUUUUUUUCAUCAUGGCAUGGUGUCCUGUUGUCCCUAGCCCUACCUACCUUGCCACUCACCUGAUCUGCCAUUUGGGUCCACGACUGCAUCUUCUGGAAUCAGCCAAUGCUGUUCUCUUGCUGCCUCCUGUGGUUCUUCACGAUUUACCUGCUGAAAGAGACAAUUACAUAUAUGAGCCAAGAGAAUAUUAACCUGUGUGAGUGGCCUCAUCCUGCUGUUCCAGAGAAUUGCAACCAGAUCAACUCACCACUCCCA